GCGGUAGUAGUAUAGUGGUUAUUAUGUUGGCUUCCCAAGCCGAGGAUACGGGUUCGAUUCCCGCCUACCGCU
rnacentral:tRNA from 1 species